rnacentral:rRNA from 1 species
GCUUGUCUCAAGAUUAAGCCAUGCAUGUCUAAGUAUAAACGACUUUAUACUGUGAAACUGCGAAUGGCUCAUUAUAUCAGUUAUAGUUUAUUUGAUGGUUCUUGCUACUUGGAUAACCGUAGUAAUUCUAGAGCUAAUACAUGCAUCAAACCCCGACUUCUGGAAGGGGUGUAUUUAUUAGAUGGAAACCAAUGCGGGGCAACCCGGAUUCUGGUGAUUCAUAAUAACUUUCGGAUCGAUCCUCGGAUCGAUGCAUCAUUCAAGUUUCUGCCCUAUCAGCUUUGGAUGGUAGGGUAUUGGCCUACCAUGGCUUUAACGGGUAACGGAGAAUUAGGGUUCGAUUCCGGAGAGGGAGCCUGAGAAAUGGCUACCACAUCCAAGGAAGGCAGCAGG